rnacentral:rRNA from 1 species
GACGAACGCUGGCGGCGUGCCUAAUACAUGCAAGUUGAGCGCUGAAGGUUGGUACUUGUACCAACUGGAUGAGCAGCGAACGGGUGAGUAACGCGUGGGGAAUCUGCCUUUGAGCGGGGGACAACAUUUGGAAACGAAUGCUAAUACCGCAUAAAAACUUUAAACACAAGUUUUAAGUUUGAAAGAUGCAAUUGCAUCACUCAAAGAUGAUCCCGCGUUGUAUUAGCUAGUUGGUGAGGUAAAGGCUCGCCAAGGCGAUGAUACAUAGCCGACCUGAGAGGGUGCUCGGCCACAUUGGGACUGGGACACGGCCCAAACUCCUACGGGAGGCAGCCGUAGGGAAUCUUCGGCAAUGGACGAAAGUCUGACCGAGCAACGCCGCGUGAGUGAAGAAGGUUUUCGGAUCGUAAAACUCUGUUGGUAGAGAAGAACGUUGGUGAGAGUGGAAAGCCCAUCAAGUGACGGUAACUACCCAGAAAGGGACGGCUAACUACGUG